rnacentral:rRNA from 1 species
GUCUACGGCCAUACCACCCUGAACACGCCCGAUCUCGUCUGAUCUCGGAAGCUAAGCAGGGUCGGGCCUGGUUAGUACUUGGAUGGGAGACCUUGGGGCAGCUAUUUAAAGCUUGGGACA